GCCACUGUGGCAUAAUGGUUAGAGAGCUGGGCUUGUGACUCAGAGGUUGCAGGUUCACUUCCCAGGGGAG